ensembl:lncRNA
AUGUUUCACAUCAGCCUAUUCAGACACUUGCAUUCACAUGGACUUCAUGUGGCUUCCCUAGGAGCUUUCAAUAAAGAAUCGACCUGGUGCUGGCCGGUCUCCAGUGUCCUGGCUCAUUGCUAUUCCGCACCAGCCCCUCUCCGCCCUCGAUUCAGCCCCUCCAUUGCAGUGUCAGAACUGAGCCUCAAAAACGUAGCUUGCUGCAACCUCUGCAGGGGUCUUGAUGCUUCCAGGUCUGCUAGAAGCUCUCUCUCUCUCUGACAGACAUGGGAGGGGCACAGGUCGCUGUCUCCCUCCAGACCUGGCUGUGUUGGUCUGAGCCUUUGCACCCCCAGUGGAUUUUCGCAGAUGCCCACAAACCCAGCAGCAUAAAAUCCUCCGCUUUGUCCCUCUGGACAGCCUGCAUGUUCACCCCUUGGAAUCGAGGCCAGCAGGCAAGAAAGGGUCUGGGAAGCCCCCUCCCACCCUGUAUGUAGGGUAGGGUGGGGUUAUUUAGUUUAGAGCCAGGAGAUCUCAGCUCCGGUUUACAUGAAGCCUUGGGCAAAGCUGUUCCACUUUUUGAUCUCCCCAUCAAUAAAAUGAGACGUUGAUUAAUCAGGGCCAACUCUUCUCUGCACCUUGGUGGACAUGCUGCCACUGGUUGGUGGAUUGUGAGAAUGCUCUAUGGUCUCAGUCAGGUAAUGCACUUUGUUGAGCCUCAGUUUUCUUACCUGUUUAAUGGGAGUAAUACUCCUAAGGGUGGGGAAGGGCUGCAGUGGAAAGGGGAGUGUUAGUUGCUCAGUUGUGUCCAACUCUGCGACCCCAUGGACUGUAGCCCGCCAGGCUCCUCUGUCUAUGGGAUCUUCUAGGCAAGAAUACUGGAGUGGGUUGCCUUGCCCUUCUCCAGGGGAAUCUUCCCAACCCAGGGAUCAAACCCGGGUCUCCUGCAUUGCAGAUAGAUUCUUUACCGUCUGAGCCACUAGAGAAACCUGGAAAAGGGAGGGGGUGGUCAAGCCCCAAGACCUUGGUCACCAAUGCAAAUUAAGUGUCUACUAGGUGCCACAUCCAAUUAUGAGGACUCCGUCACUUGGGCCCUCUCUGUUUCCCCUGACCAGGAGGAGGAGCCAGUGAAACCAGUUUACUGGGAUUCAGAGGUGCUGGUCAGGGCAGGUUAGUUGGGGUGUGGGGCCACCUGCUGGUCACCUGGUGAGUAUUCAGUAGACGCCUACUGUGUACCAGAGCCUGAGGCAUCUAUGGUCCUGCCUAGGUGGAGGGGGAGACCAUAGAAUCAUAACAAAUAGCUACCAUUUACUGAGUGGCUAUUGCAUGCCAGGCCCACUUGGGUGCUUUGCAUGGAUCUCACAUUCCCAUCUUACAGAUGGAGAAAUUGAGCCCUCAGUCUCAGCCGGAGGGGGUCAGAGAAAGGGGUGCUACUUUUGGCUGGGGACAAUCAUAGAGGGCUUCAAGAGGUGGUGACAUGUGAAUUUGAAGGGCAAAUCUGGAUAGAAGAGAUUUGGGAAAAGGGCAUUUGAGCUAGCAGGUAUAGGAUGAGGUGAGGUGAGGAGGCAGGAAUGGGCUGUGCCAUGUGAAGACCAGAGAAAAGUCUGUUUAAAGUGUGAGAGGCAGGAAGUCUCUCAUUUUCUAAUUCCAUCUCCUGUAGGAAGUCAGGGUGGGGGCCUUAGGGGUGAGAAGUGGGCACCUGGUGGCAGCUUCUCUGUCUUAGCACUCCCAGGCCAAACUUGUGUGUGGAGGUUACAUUCCCUCCUCCUCAUAUCCACAUCUCCCUCUCCUAGUGGGAUACCCGGCUCUUGAUCAAACAAUGUGUCCACCUCCUGUUGCUGCUUUGGCCUUUUCAGGUGGCUCCAGAGUUGAAUCUUUUCACACUGGCCUUCCUGGACCCUCAGGAUGUGGCCUGUGCUUCCAACAGAGCUAUUUUCUGUGUUGUAUUUUCUUCUGAGGUUUAAUUUGAACAAGGGUUUGUGUGCUUUAAAAAGCUUAUGGGGGACUUCCCUGGUGGUCCAGUGAUUAAGACUUUGUUGUCCUAAUGCAGGGGACAUGGGUUCAAUCCCUGGUCAGGAAACUAAGAUCCCACAUGACACAUGGUAUGGCCAAAAAAUUAAAAAAAAAUCAUGGGCCAUUGAACAAGACACUUAACAUUUAUCUUAAAUCCUGCCUUAUGACCCCAUUUUACAGAUGGGAAACUGAGGCUCAGUGUGACUUAGUAGCUUCCUGAGGUCCAGGACUAGGCUCUGAUACGGAAAAAUGCCCUCACGAUUGUCCUUUCUUCCACUGUCCUCAGAGGGUCCCGACUCCAUGGGGACAGGCAGAGAGCAGCCAUCUGCAAUGAGUGGCAAGUGGGCGCUAAAAAGGGGAACAGAGAUGAUGUGGUGAUCCGUGCUGUCUUAGGCUGGAUUUCUUUCCUCUUUCUGGUGGAGAGUUGAGAGAAGGUUGGGACAAAGAGGAAGUGAUAGAGAUGAGGAGGCACUGGGGAGGAAUUGUGGAUCCUACCUCAUCCCCAAAUACCUGUCCCUGCUGCAGGGGCCGUGUGUAUAAAGCAGACUACAUGCCCAGACGCACCCCCAGCCUUCAGCUGUGCUCACGACAAGACAAAGAGACCAGCAAACCAGUCAGCCAUCAGACCUGGCAGAGAUCCUCUGAGCAGAGCAAGGAGGGCCCUUCAGCCGCCCCCUGGAGUCACUCCCAGUGUGGAGAACCUCCCUAGUGCAGCCUCGCUUCUAAUUGAUGGAACCUCGACCAUGGGCCACGCGUCUCCCCACCAAGGAAAGGCUCAGUGAGUGAGGAGCCAGGCUACCCAGCUCAGACUGGCCUGCUCCAGUCACAUGCUGGAGCCCGUGCUUCGAGCAUCUGGAGUGAGCCAGGAUAUCUCAUAUGUGACCUUUACUUACUUGUCUUUCCUAGGCAGGGGUGAUGCUCAUCUUACAGAUGAAAUCACUGAGGCUUGAGUAGCAUGGGGGUCAAGUGCCCAAGUUCCUACAUGUGGUGAGUGGCAGGGCGGGGGUCUAAACCCAGGAUCUUGGGGCUCUAUGUUGUUAAUCACUAAGUCAUA